UACGUAGGGUGCGAGCGUUAAUCGGAAUUACUGGGCGUAAAGCGUGCGCAGGCGGUUAUGUAAGACAGUUGUGAAAUCCCCGGGCUCAACCUGGGAAUUGCAUCUGUGACUGCAUAGCUAGAGUACGGUAGAGGGGGAUGGAAUUCCGCGUGUAGCAGUGAAAUGCGUAGAUAUGCGGAGGAACACCGAUGGCGAAGGCAAUCCCCUGGACCUGUACUGACGCUCAUGCACGAAAGCGUGGGGAGCAAACAGGGAU
rnacentral:rRNA from 1 species